CAGGAAGUGCUUGCACUUCGCUGACGACCGGCGCACGGGUGAGUAUCGCGUAUACAAUCUGCCUCAUACUAGGGAAUAGCCCGAAGAAAUUUGGAUUAAUGCCCUAUAGUAUCUUUUUAAGGCAUCUUAUUAAGAUUAAAGGUUACGGUAUGAGAUGAGUAUGCGUUCUAUUAGCUAGUAGGUGUGGUAACGGCACACCUAGGCUACGAUAGAUAGGGGCCCUGAGAGGGGGAUCCCCCACACUGGUACUGAGACACGGACCAGACUCCUACGGGAGGCAGCAGUAAGGAAUAUUGGUCAAUGGACGAAAGUCUGAACCAGCCAUGCCGCGUGCAGGAUGACUGCCCUAUGGGUUGUAAACUGCUUUUAUAUAGGAAGAAAAACUUUCUCGUGAGAAAGCUUGACGGUACUAUAAGAAUAAGGAUCG
rnacentral:rRNA from 1 species